UACAGAGGUCCCAAGCGUUGUUCGGAUUCACUGGGCGUAAAGGGUGCGUAGGCGGUGAGGUAAGUCGGAUGUGAAAUCCCGGGGCUCAACCCCGGAACUGCAUUCGAUACUGCCUUGCUUGAGCACUGGAGAGGAGACUGGAAUUUACGGUGUAGCAGUGAAAUGCGUAGAUAUCGUAAGGAAGACCAGUGGCGAAGGCGAGUCUCUGGACAGUUGCUGACGCUGAGGCACGAAGGCCAGGGGAGCAAACGGG
rnacentral:rRNA from 1 species